rnacentral:lncRNA from 1 species
GGAAGAGGCGAGGGUACGCAUCAAUUUGUACAGUCUUCAGUUGGCACCCCUGUUUUUUCUUUCCUGCAACGAAUAGCAAGAGGUUUUCUUCUGCAUUAUUGUUAAUACCGGAGCCCGUUGCAAUAUGAGCCAGCACAAGCCUCUGUUGACAGACGCCUGGGCUCUGAGGUGUGCGUGUCAGCGUGCAACAUAAACCGACAAAACAGAGCGAGAGAAAGGAAAGGGAGAGUGAGAGUGGGAGCACGCAUCGCUGGAUAUUAUAGGUUUUUGCUCUCGUGCUGUAAGCACAGCAUGGUCAAUAAGCCACUGGAACCAGUUCAGUCUCUGCAAUGGCUUGUGUUGUAAAAUGGACGAUAUAAAGAAGACAUAAUGAAAACAAGGACACACAAAGAAUCGAUGCCCGUACGCAGUGGGCGACGACGGGGGGCAAGUGAGGAGCGAAGGGGUAGACGCCCGCACCCCAGCCCCACUCGCCCUGAACGCAACGACAGACAAACGCAAAGAGGUGCUGGUGAGGAAUUGGCUGGAAAUCGCUUCAGUCGCAGAUCACAAGGGC